rnacentral:lncRNA from 1 species
UAUAUCAACAGAACAUUAUUCACACUUAAACUAUAUGGGUGUUAUUUCAUAUCUUGUAGCUUCAGCUAUAAAAUGCAAAGAAAGUGAAAAGUCAUUUGGAGAAUGGCUACAAUCUUCUGAGGUACAAUAAUAUGAGAAUAUUAACCUUCAGCAGCAGGAUUCCAAGCUAACUGACUAAGGCUAAGCCCACUCUACUGUAUGGGACUGAAGAGUAAAGUGCUCUGGCAUGUUGUGUACUCAAUAAUGAAAAACAUCCCAGAUGUGUCAGGACUGUCCUGUGACCAAGUCACGCAAGGACUCGGAAAGCUUCUUCAGAAAAACAGCUGCAGAGAUAACACAGAGCAAUCACUGUUCAACAAGGAUUUCUUCAAGGUCUGUGAUGGUUUCGACAUGUUUGGGUCAGGGAACUGCCAUUAUUUGGAGGUGUGGCCUUGUUGGAGUAGGUGUGUCACUGUGGGUGUGGAUUUAAUAACCUCAUCCUAGCUGCCUGGAAUUCAGUCUGCCACUAGCAGCCUUCAGAUGAAGAUGUAGAACUCUCGGCUCCUCCCACACCGUGCCUGUCCGAAUGCUGCCCAUGUCUCCCACCUUGAUGAUAGUGAACUGAGCCUCUGAACCUAUAAGCCAGCCCCAAGUAAAUGCUGUCCUUUAUAAGACUUGCCUUGGCUAUGGUGUUUGUUCAUAGCAGUAAAAUCCUAACUAAGACAAGGUCAAAGGGCAUCUAGAAAACAAGUGUUUAUUUUAAUGUUUA